rnacentral:rRNA from 1 species
CGAACGCUGGCGGCGUGCCUAAUACAUGCAAGUCGAGCGAACCGACGAAGUGCUUGCACUUCUGACGUUAGCGGCGGACGGGUGAGUAACACGUAAGGAACCUACCGAUAAGCGGGGGACAACAUCCGGAAACGGGUGCUAAUACCGCAUAGGAAAKGYCACCACAUGGUGRCMUUUGGAAAGACGGCUUUGCUGUCACUUAUCGAUGGCCUUGCGGUGCAUUAGCUCGUUGGUGGGGUAACGGCCUACCAAGGCAAUGAUGCAUAGCCGACCUGAGAGGGUAAUCGGCCACAUUGGGACUGAGACACGGCCCAAACUCCUACGGGAGGCAGCAGUAGGGAAUCUUCCGCAAUGGGCGCAAGCCUGACGGAGCAACGCCGCGUGAGUGAAGAAGGUUUUCGGAUCGUAAAGCUCUGUUGUAAGAGAAGAACAAAUUGGARAGUAACUGCUCCAGUCUUGACGGUAUCUUACCAGAAAGC